rnacentral:misc_RNA from 1 species
AAGUCGUAACAAGGUCUCCGUUGGUGAACCAGCGGAGGGAUCAUUAGAGAGUUGACCCCGACUCCCAAACCCCUGUGAACAUACCGUACGUUGCCUCGGCGGGGGGGCGCUCCCCCCCGCCGGCGGCCCACGAAACUCUGUUUUGCCCUGCAUCUCUGAAACGAUAAAACUAAAUCAGUUAAAACUUUCAACAACGGAUCUCUUGGUUCUG